rnacentral:lncRNA from 1 species
UUUUUAUUAUAUUUAUAUAUUUUUAUAAAAUAUAUACAUGUAUAUAUAAAUAUUUUUAUACAUAUGUUAAUAAAAAUACAUACAUCUUAUAAAAAAAAAUAAUGCAAUUUAAUUAACUACCAAAAUGUAGCAAAAUACAUGACAUUCACAGGAGUAUAAAGAACACAACAAUAUUUUUUUAAAAGCAUAAAUACUUCAUGCUUAUAUACCUACAUGAGCUCAUACAUAUAUAAACGCAAAUGAAAAACAAACUCUCUUCUUAAAUCAUUAAUUAAUCCCUAUAUUAUUUUAUUUUAUUUUAUUUUUUAUUUUUUUUUUUUUUUGCUAAGCUCUUACAUAUAUUAAAAAAUAUGAUUUGACUUCAUUGGAAAUUUAUAUAUAAGGCAAACCGUUAAUAUCUUAUGAAACAGUUAUUUAAAAGUAGGGAUAUGACAAAAGCACAAGAAAAAUGGCCUUAUAAUAAAAAUCUUGAGAGAUUAAUAACUUUGCUCAAAAAAUAUAUAAAUAAUAAUUAAAUAAAUAAUAUAUAAUAAGGAUCACCUAGCAACCAAUGAUUACAUAAAAUUUAAAUUUUAUACAACCUUUUAUUAAUUUUUACUUAUGAACAAAGGGAUAAUAAAAAAGUUUAUGUUUUGUAAUAAUUUUAUAAGCAAUAACAUUACCGUAAAGACAUUAAAAAUAAGCAUCUCACAACAUAUCUAAAAUGGAGUAAAUCUUAAUAAAUUCAUACAACACCCUAUCCCACUCAAAAAAAUUAAAAUAAAAUAAAGAAAGAAGGAAAAACAAAAAAGAAUGCUAAACUAAAUUUAAAAAAACUGAUUUGUCCUUUUAGAAUCAUUGAAAGAUAUGCUUAUUUUUUUAAUGUAAAAAAUAUAUAUGUGGCAUGUGUAAUAUGUAGAUCAUGAAAAAAAUUAAAAGCAACAAAAAGCGCUAUUAAAAACAUAAUUUUAUUUAUAUAAUACUUAAUAGAAAAAAUGCGUAGAAAGAUACUUUUCAUUUUUUUGAUUUUUACUUUUUUAUGCGAUAUACCAUUAAAUUUUUCAAAAAGAAUAUGCGAUGUUGUACAGUUUGGAUCAUAUGCAUUAUCAUCAAAUAAAAAAAACCGAAAAAUAUUUAAAUAUGAAGUUGUCGGUGUAAUAGAUCCUUUUAAUAAAGACCAAGUUUUAUGGAGCAGGAAAAAAAGAAGCAAAAGGUUCAAUAUUAAUAUUUUUAAAAACAUAUAUGAUAAAUUCUUCUGUAAUAUUAAUGAUUAUGUAUACUUACCGUAUACUGAUCAAUUUAUUAUUCGCAUUUUCCACAUAAACAUUAAGAAUACUAUAAAAUAUAUGUUAAAAUAUAAAAUAAUAAGUGGCCAUUUAAAAAAAGAUGAACAUGGCAAUAAAACUAUACUAUGUUUAAAAGAAACUAGUAAGUUGUAUCGUUUUUUAAAUAACAUUAAUAUUUAAUUAUAGCAUAAACAAACAAAAAAAAAAUAAAUAAAUUAAUAAAGCAUAUAAGCA